CAGUCGCCGCGGUAAUACGUAGGUGGCAAGCGUUGUCCGGAAUUAUUGGGCGUAAAGGGCUCGCAGGCGGUUUCUUAAGUCUGAUGUGAAAGCCCCCGGCUCAACCGGGGAGGGUCAUUGGAAACUGGGAAACUUGAGUGCAGAAGAGGAGAGUGGAAUUCCACGCGUAGCGGUGAAAUGCGUAGAUAUAUGGAGGAACACCGGUGGCGAAAGCGGCUCUCUGGUCUGUAACUGACGCUGAGGCUCGAAAGCGUGGGGAGCGAACAGGAUUAGAUACCCCCGUAGUCCCUGUCUCUUAUAC
rnacentral:rRNA from 1 species